AAACAAUAGAAAUUUAUUGAUCCACAGUCCUGGGGGCUAGAAUACUGAAAUCAAGUUGUUGACAGGGCCACACUUCUACUGCAGCCUGUAGGGGAGAGGGCUUCCUUGCCUCUUCUUGCUUCCUGAUAGGGGUUUUCAAGCCUUGGUGUCCUUUGGCCUGCAACUGCAUCACUUGCAUCUCUGCCUCUGUCAUCACAAGGUGUUGUCCCUGUGUGUCUCUGCCUUUAUGUGGCCUUCUUCUUAAAAUGAUGCUAGUCAUGUUGCUCACCUGAAUCCAGUGCAACCUUGUCUUCACCUAAGUAAUUAUAUCUGGAAUGAUCUAUUUCCACAUAAAAUCAUGUUCUGAGGUUUUAGGGAUUAGAGACUUAAUAUGUCUUUUUUGGGGACACGGUUCAACUUGCAACACUGCCAGUUUGAGAAUCACAGGUGUAUUCCUUGGAAGAGAGCUGUUCCUAAUUUUCUCAGGUCUUACAAUAGUGCCUUAUGCUAGUUAGCUUCCCCAUUCCAUUCACAUGGAAUCCACACAUCCUCAUUCCAUGAGUGUGUGUGUGUGUGUAUAACUUAUUAACAUAAAUGGAAUUAUAUUAUGCAUCUUUUUAAGCAACUUGUUUUAUACACUUAACAGUAUGCCUUGGAAUUCCUUCCAUGGAUGUACAUAUAAAUUGACUUGAUCCCUUGUUACCAUGACACAGUGAUUUCAUAAUAUUGAAUUUAAUUCCUAUAAUUUAAACAUUUCCCUAUAGGUAGACAUUAAGGUUGUUUUCAAUUGUCUUGGCUACUACAAAUGUAAUAUUUGGUGAAGGAAUUUCUUUGUGGGAAGAGGCUAUUUUUGUUAAAAAAGAUGUUGCUGGAUAGCCUCAAACUAGAGUCAGAAUCAACUGUGCAUAAUAAAUUUAUGAGGGAGAAGAAGGAGGCUAGAGGCUGGAUUCUCUGGGGGGUCAAAGUCAGAUUAAGAGGGGAAGCUUAGAGGAAGCACUUUGAGGGCAACAUGGCCAAGGGGGAUCUUUUGAGUUAAAUGAUGCACACCGGGCUGGGCACGGUGUGCACCACCACACCUAGCUAAUUUUUGCAUUUUUAGUAGAGACGGGGUUCCCCCAUGUUGGUCAGGAUGGUCUGAAUCUCUUGACCUCGUGAUCCACCCACCUCAGCUUCCCAAAGUGCUAGGAUUACAGGCGUGAGCCACAGCGCCUGGCUGGUUGGCUGCAUCUCUUAACUAAAUGUUACAGCUCCUGCCAUGUGGUGCUCUCCAUACAGGUCUUCACAUCUUGAGGUUUUGGUAACAGGUCUCUUCUCUUGUCCCUGUGGGCCUUACGAUGGAAACAGCUGCAACUAACCCUGAGAUAUCACUAUCUUUUGUGAUUUCCCUGUGCCUUGCCCCUUUUUUUAUUAAAUGCUACUAAAAUUACCCAAUUUGAGGGUGUCAUCUCUUACUUCUUGGGCCCUGAUCAAUAUAGGGCUUUGCUGAGUUGUUCAUCAUGCUGAUGUUUUGUUUCCCAUUUAAUCAUAGUUAGGUGAUGCCUAAUAAGUGCUUACUAAAUAUUUGUUGAAUGAGUAAAUGUCUAAAUGAGUGAGUGGCAGGAUUUGAACUCCAACUCCCCCUCUCCAAACUUCCAAUGCAGAGUUUAGUGUUCACAUGUAAAGUACAGAUGCUUGAUGUCCUCUGAGAGCAGUAAAUGGGCAUUGGGUCUGUGGCUCAAGUUUCUGGGACCUCCAUUUUCCUGGGUUUGCCCUAGUUCCUUAUGCCUAGGUGUCUUCUUUCCCAGAGGAGCAAUAUGCAAUAAUAUGAAGAAUAUCAGAAAUACACAGAAAAGGUAAAGACACAAUAUUCCCCACCAAACAAAGAUUAGGGUGAUUUCUUCCACUCAGGAAGAGAUAAAGAGUUCAGACCACAAAAUAAGAAACAAAUAUUGAAAAAUUUCAUUUGUACAGUUUAUGGUUUUAA
rnacentral:lncRNA from 1 species